AGCCCGCUCACUCUGCACAGAAAUCACCUGCAAGAGAGACCCAGCCCUGAGCCAUUCUGGUCACAGCACUCCCACUGUGACGCCAAAGAAAGGCACAGGAGCCUCCUUGGACCAUCACCCUGUGCUUAUAGUCGUCUCUGCCAUGCUCUGAAAUGCUAGUUCCUGGAAAUGCCUUGCCACAGACACGGCUGAGGCCAGGACUAGCACAAGAUUAAAACUGGGCAUCUGAGUGUGGCUGCAGACAGUCGGGUUUCCCUGAGGGAAGCUGGACCACCCAAGGAUGUAGCCACUCUGUGAGCUGCUACUUCCAUUCAGAAUCUCAUAGGGGAAAUUACUUCAUCCUUGCUGAUACAGAUGACAACAAGAGGAACUUCUAGCAUUUGACAGGACUUCUAAAAAUAAAGCCACUACAACACAGAGCAUUCACUUCUACUGCAAUAUCCCAAUGAAAGGAAUAAAAAAAGAAGGCUGAAACUUGUCUUUGUUGUAUCCUGUGUUGCUUGUCUGAUACCAUCUGUGAUAUCAU
rnacentral:lncRNA from 1 species